UCUUGACAGAUCCCUUCGGGGUGAAGAUAAGAUGGAUUAGCGGCGGACGGGUGAGUAACACGUGAGUAACCUGCCUUAGACAUUGGGAUAGCCCCGGGAAACCGGGAUUAAUACCAAAUGAAAUCAUAGGUGCCCAUGCACUAAUGAUCAAAACUCCGGUGGUCUAAGAUGGACUCGCGUCCCAUUAGCUAGUUGGUGAGGUAACGGCCCACCAAGGCGACGAUGGGUAGCCGGCCUGAGAGGGUGAACGGCCACAUUGGAACUGAGAAACGGUCCAAACUCCUACGGGAGGCAGCAGUGGGGAAUAUUGCACAAUGGAGGGAACUCUGAUGCAGCGACGCCGCGUGAACGAUGAAGGCUUUCGAGUCGUAAAGUUCUUUUAUAUGGGAAGAUAAUGACGGUACCAUAAGAAAAAGCCCCGGCUAACUACGUGCCAGCAGCCGCGGUAAUACGUAGGGGGCUAGCGUUGUCCGGAAUCACUGGGCGUAAAGGGUUCGCAGGCGGAAAUGCAAGUCAGAUGUAAAAGGCAGUAGCUUAACUACUGUAAGCAUUUGAAACUGCAUAUCUUGAGAAGAGUAGAGGUAAGUGGAAUUUUUAGUGUAGCGGUGAAAUGCGUAGAUAUUAAAAAGAAUACCGGUGGCGAAGGCGACUUACUGGGCUCAUUCUGACGCUGAGGAACGAAAGCGUGGGUAGCAAACAGGAUUAGAUACCCUGGUAGUCCACGCUGUAAACGAUGAGUGCUAGGUAUCGGAAUAAUUCGUGCCGCAGUUACACAUUAAGCACUCCGCCUGGGGAUACU
rnacentral:rRNA from 1 species